AUACGGAGGGUGCAAGCGUUACUCGGAAUCACUGGGCGUAAAGCGCGCGCAGGCGGUUUUUUAAGUUGGAUGUGAAAUCCUAUAGCUUAACUAUAGAACUGCAUCCAAAACUAUUAGACUAGAGUCUGGGAGAGGUAAGUGGAAUUAGUUGUGUAGGGGUAAAAUCCGUAGAGAUAACUAGGAAUACCAAAAGCGAAGGCAACUUACUGGAACAGUACUGACGCUGAGGCGCGAAAGCGUGGGGAGCAAACAGGAUUAGAAACCCGGGUAGUCC
rnacentral:rRNA from 1 species